ACCUCCCAUUGCCCAAUUCUCUCUGUUUCUGCUUGUGAGGGAAACACAACAAAGAACUUGCCCCAAAUUGAACGGGAUGGGUUGGAGUUGAGGUGUUGUGUGGGGUUGGUUAACUAAGAGAUUUGGACACCUAAUUGGUUUUUCCAAUAAAGACAAUGGGAUUGGCUUGUAAAAGUGGAAAUGAUAACGAAAUGGCCAAGAACUUGGCCACUUUUUGGCUUCCGUCCAGAAAUUACAAAAAUUUAAGUUCGUUUAAGACGAAAUUAUUAAAUAUGUCUUUAUUCACAUGGGUCGGUGAAGGCCACUUAUAGAGAAUGGGCAUCCACAAGGGCGUUACACCUGCACCCAUCUUUCAUGCUCUCAUUAUUUAUUAUUAAUUAAUUUUAAUUUUAUUCAAGUUAUGCUUAUAACUAUGCUGUCUACAUUUUUUUUAAUGGGUUAUUUAUUUAUUUUUUAAAAUGUGAUUUAUUUCGUUGAAGGAGAAGAGAAGAGAAUCUGUCCGAGGCGAAGCAGCCUGGCGGAGGGAUAGUACAGCUGGCUUCAUCAUGGUAGCCUUUAUGCUCAGUGCGAGUAGGGCUGGAAUUUCGAAUUUCGAAUAAAUUAUUAUUUGUUGAAGGAUCCUCGAAAGGAAACUUCCGAAUGCGAGCGUGAAUCGACUCUGCUUUCAUCUUCAUCGCUCAACGCAAUCAAUCGCGAGGAGAAACUAAAAUGGAGGACAAUCGCCGUUUCUGUGAAAUAGAUGAAAGGAUCUUCAAUCGAUAAUCGGUUCAUCGAAAUGCACAGAACAUUUUCAUUCUAUUAGCAAACAUCAAGCGAUUUACACCAUUCCAUUCUUUCAUCAAUCAACUCUAUUUUCCACUAAA